CAGAAGUAAUUAAGACAGCCGUGUUUGACACGGCAGUAAUUUAUUCCAAAGGGACGCAGAGCACACAUUAGAGUAAAUGGACAUGAAAGUGUCCCUAAAAUGGUCCAGAGUACUCUCUUCUCAUCAGCUUGAGAAAACUUAAUUUCAAUUUCAAAUUUAAU